rnacentral:rRNA from 1 species
UUAGUGGCGGAAGGGUUAGUAAUACAUAGAUAAUCUGUCCUCAACUUGGGAAUAACGGUUGGAAACGACCGCUAAUACCGAAUGUGGUAUGUUUAGGCAUCUAAAACAUAUUAAAGAAGGGGAUCUUCGGACCUUUCGGUUGAGGGAGAGUCUAUGGGAUAUCAGCUUGUUGGUGGGGUAAUGGCCUACCAAGGCUUUGACGUCUAGGCGGAUUGAGAGAUUGACCGCCAACACUGGGACUGAGACACUGCCCAGACUUCUACGGAAGGCUGCAGUCGAGAAUCUUUCGCAAUGGACGAAAGUCUGACGAAGCGACGCCGCGUGUGUGAUGAAGGCUCUAGGGUUGUAAAGCACUUUCGCUUGGGAAUAAGAGAGA